rnacentral:rRNA from 1 species
AAAUUAGAGUGUUCAAAGCAGGCUCGACGCCGGAAUAUAUUAGCAUGGAAUAAUAAAAUAGGACGUGCGGUUCUAUUUUGUUGGUUUUUGGAAUCGCCGUAAUGAUUAAUAGGGACAGUCGGGGGCAUUAGUACUCACAUGCUAGAGGUGAAAUUCUUGGAUUUUGUGAAGACUAACUUCUGCGAAAGCAUUUGCCAAGG